AGACGGAGGGGGCUAGCGUUGUUCGGAUUUACUGGGCGUAAAGGGCGCGUAGGCGGAUUAGUAAGUUGGGAGUGAAAGCCCGGGGCUCAACCUCGGAACUGCUUUCAAAACUGCUAGUCUAGAGUGAAGUAGGGGGUGAUGGAAUUCCUAGUGUAGAGGUGAAAUUCUUAGAUAUUAGGAGGAACACCGGUGGCGAAGGCGGUCACCUGGACUUCAACUGACGCUGAGGCGCGAAAGCGUGGGGAGCAAACAGGAUUAGAAACCCUUGUAGUCC
rnacentral:rRNA from 1 species